UUGCAGCGUCUUGACGAGGAGCAGACAAUAAAAACGGCUCGGUGACUUUUUCUAACCUUUGUAACAUGUAUUUUACUCCCCAAGACCUCUGCCUCUCCGCUCCAGCGAAACGGGGGGAUUAUACACAUGCCACUCACGGGGAAAAUAAGGUUUCUUUUCUGAAGCGAGCUUUCACGCAAUAUUAAUGUAUAUUUUUAUUAAUGCACAUUUCUAAGCGCCGUCUCUCCCGUUUUUCCCGGUGUUCAUCCCGGCAAGCCGAGCGCCCGGUGCRGUGACACAGGUGCCAAGGCGCGUGGGCAGCGCGGAGCGGCGAGACCUAACGAGCCCUUCGUCAGCCGGAUCACUAGGGCGUAAACGCUCCUGGCAGCCUGCCCAAAGUGGGGCUCGAAUAGCUCGAAGCAUUAAAAUGACCCGUAUCCUAGUUAUGACCACUCCGGCGCUGCUCCGCUCCUGCGAGGGAUGCGGGAAUGAUCCCCAGUCGUGCUCGGGCUUUGCUCYGCUGGGAAAUGAGGAGGGCUGCGUUCGUUCCCUGCGGGAAUCCGGGUUGUGCCGAGCGGGAAGGAGCCAGGAUAAACUCCUCAACGCUAGCAGGCCUUGAAACCCAGCAAGCGCUCGAUAUAAAACUCUCACCCUUCUCAAGAACCAUCUUCCCAACACCCAAAUGCUUAUUGCACCGAUCUCCGGCCCUGUUCAUCCUGAGCGGCGGCUGCAAGCAGCUCUAGUGGGUUUAACACGAAUUCAGCUGCAGGAGGGUCASGGAGGAAAAGGCAGCGGUACGUGUGCGGCCAUGACUCGGACAGGAGACUGCGAGGGAAAGGGCUAGGGAUGUGGACGCUGAAAAU
rnacentral:lncRNA from 1 species